GACGAACGCUGGCGGCGUGCUUAACACAUGCAAGUCGAACGGAAAGGCCCUGCUUUUGUGGGGUGCUCGAGUGGCGAACGGGUGAGUAACAAGUGAGUAACCUGCCCUUGACUUUGGGAUAACUUCAGGAAACUGGGGCUAAUACCGGAUAGGAGCUCCUGCUGCAAGGUGGGGGUGGGAAAGUUUCGGCGGUUGGGGAUGGAUUCGCGGCUUAUGAGCUGGUUGGUGGGGUAGUGGCUUACCAAGGCUUUGACGGGUAGCCGGCCUGACAGGGUGACCGGCCACAUUGGGACUGACAUACGGCCCAGACUCCUCCGUGCGGCCGCCAUCAGGAAUAUUGCCCAAUGGACGGAAGCCUCAUGCAGCAACGCCGCGUGCGGGAUGCCGGCCUUCGGUUUGUAAACCGCUUUCGCCUGUGACGCAGCAUGAGUGACAGUAAUCGGUAACGAAGCCCCGGCUCACUACGUG
rnacentral:rRNA from 1 species